rnacentral:rRNA from 1 species
GAACGAGGAUAUAUCCUUCGGGAUAUAAGCCGAGUGGCGCAAGGGUGAGUAAUGCAUAGAUUACCUGCCUCUAGGAUAAGGACAACUUUGUGAAAACGAAGCUAAUACUUAAUAAUACAAAUGGAAAUAAUUUUCAUUUGUCAAUGGGAGGGUAGCAAUACCUUUUGCCUAGAGAGGGGUUUAUGUCCUAUCAGCUUGUUGGUGGGGUAAUGGCCUACCAAGGCGAAGACGGGUAGCCGGUCUUAGAGGAUGGUCGGCCACACUGGGACUGAGACACUGCCCAGACUUCUACGGAAGGCUGCAGUCGAGAAUCUUUCGCAAUGCCCGAAAGGGUGACGAAGCGACGCCGCGUGAGUGAGGAAGGCCUUCGGGUUGUAAAGCUCUGUCAGGAGUUAAGAAAUAUAAGUGUGCUAAUAUCACAUUUAUUUGACGAAGGCUCCAAAGGAAGCCACGGCUAACUCUGUGCCAGCAGCCGCGGUAAUACAGAGGUGGCAAGCGUUGUUCGGAAUUAUUGGGCGUAAAGAGCACGUAGGUGGGUUUGUAAGUCAGAUGUGAAAGCCUUCUGUUCAACGGAAGAAUUGCAUCUGAAACUGCGAGUCUUGAGUAUAGGAGGGGAGAAUGGAACUUCUGGUGGAGCGGUGAAAUGCGUAGAUAUCAGAAGGAACGCCGGCGGCGAAAGCGAUUCUCUGGCCUAUUACUGACACUCAGUGUGCGAAAGCUAGGGGAGCAAACGGGAUUAGAUACCCCGGUAGUCCUAGCCGUAAACGAU